NNNNNNNNNNNNNNNNNNNNNNNNNNNNNNNNNNNNNNNNNNNNNNNNNNNNNNNNNNNNNNNNNNNNNNNNNNNNNNNNNNNNNNNNNNNNNNNNNNNNNNNNNNNCUCGGCUCACUGCAAGCUCCACCUCCUGGGUUCACGCCAUUCUCCUGCCUCAGCCUCCCGAGCAGCCAGGACUACAGGUGCCUGCCACCACACCUGGCUAAUUUUUUAUAUUUUUAGUAAAGACAGGGUUUCACGUGUUAGCCAGGAUGGUCUUGAUCUCCUGACCUGGUGAUCCGCCUGCCUCGGCCUCCCAAAGUGCUGGGAUUACAGGCGUGAGCCACAUAAGUCCCUAUUCUAUAUUUCUUUCUGAGAAGCUGUAUUUGUCAGCCUCUUUCUUCAGCCUCUCAGCUCCAGGGGCCUUUGGGGGUAGGUUUGCACUGACCUGCUCUCCACGGAGCAAUCUCAGUGCACGGGGCUCUCGUGUCGAGGAGUCCCAGAAACAUUUCUUCUCCAUCCCCUGAGCAUUUUACCCACUCAUGGGUGUAUAGCAUUGGGUCCCCAGCCAGGGGCCAGGCCAAGGGAUGCUGACCCUCUCAUCAAUCAAGCCCUUAUCUUGAUUGGAUUGCAGGAGCAUCACUCUAGGUGACUGGAGGCCAACUUGCUCAUGGUCAUCUUUGCCUUCUAAUGUUUUCUAUUUCUCCAAACUGGAUGAACGUAGGUUUAGGCCCUUUAGUUUGGGGCACGCAGGAGCUCCCAGCAGUUCCAGUUUCUGAGAGUGCUGUCAUAAGAGCGUCGUUUUAACCCCAUUAAUGUCUGCUUUGCUCUACCCAUGUCUGCCUGUCUUUCGUUCGUUCGUUCUUUCUUUCCUUUCUUUCUUUCUUUCUUUCUUUCUUUCUUUCUUUCUUUCUUUCUUUCUCUUUCUCUUUCUUUCUUUCUCUCUUUUUUUCCUUUUUCUUUUUUUUUUUUUGAUGGAGUUUUGCUCUUGUCACCCAGGCUGGUGUGCAAUGGCAUGAUCUCAGCUCACUGCAACCUCUGCCUCCUGGAUUCAAGUGAUACUUGUGCCUCAGCCUCCCGAAUAGCUGGGAUUACAGGCUCCCACCACCACACCUGGAUAAUUUUUGUAUUUUUAGUACAGACAGAGUUUCACCAUGUUGGUCGGGCAGGUCACGAACUCCUGAUCUGGGAUUAGAGGCGUGAGCCCCCGCGCCCAGGCUUAUUAUUAUUAUUUUAAUUAGAGAUGAGGUCUUGCUAUGUAACCAGGCUGGUCUCAAAUUCCUGGCCUCAAGCGGUCCUCCCAACUCAGCCUCCCAAAGUGCUGGGAUUACAGGCAUGAGCCACUGAGCCCGGCCAUGUUCUUCCCAUUGCUUAAUAACUGCUGAAGGAUGUUCACCUGCUGGGAUGGGCUCCUUCACUCUCCCACGUGACUUUCCUCAUUCUUUUGCAAAGCAGUCUAAAUUUCCCCACAAUCUGUUGUUUCCACAUGACUUUUUCCUUUGGCCCUGAGGCCAGCGACUAUAGCCUGGACCUCCCAGAACCCAGGAUUGGUGCAACGUCAGGAUUCAGCCCAACAUCUUCCUUACCUUUCCCUCUAACCUUCCCAUCGGUCAUGGCCCCGAGGCAACCACCUCGGCCUCACUACCCAUUGGCUCAGGCUCAGAACCUCUCUCUUGCUUUCAUUUCAGCAUUUACAGAAACAAUAACUCACAGUGGACCCAUAUGAAGUGCCACUAGUGAUGCUGGAAGUGCCCAAGAAGCAGAGAAAAGUCAUGACAUUACAAGAAAAAAGUUGAAUUGUUGGAUACGUACUGAGGUCUGCAGGUGCGGUUGUGCCAUUUCAGAGAGACGAUUCAUCUUGUAAACAGAUGACAGAAAACUUAAUGAUACUGAUAAAUACAGUACAGUACUGUAAAUGUAUUUUCCCCUUUAUGAUUUUCUUAAUAAUAGUUUAUUUUCUCUAGCUUACUUUAUUGGAAGAAUACAGUUUAUAAUACCUAUAACACACCAAAUAAGUGUUAAUUAUUUAUGUUAUCAGUAAGGCUUCGGGUCAACAGUGGGCUGUUAGUAGUUAAUAGCCUACUGUUGUAAGUGUCUCCGUGGUAAUAGCCUAUCAUUGUAAUUGUCAGAAAUGAGAGUGGUCUUGAGGACUGUUUUCUCUGCCUUUACAGUUUGAUAAAAUUCCUGCAGCUGAAAGUGGAAUUCACUAGAAUGUCCCUGACUCGCUAAAAAAUGUGGUAUGGAAAAAGGAGCAAUGAGAGGGCAGGGGAUGAAGGAUCUCUCUUUUACUUCCACCCUCUCUUAACUUUUGUUUUAGCUUUUAGGGAACACAAUAACCAAGAGAUUGCAUAUGUAGCUUGGUUUUUGUUACUUUGUAUUUCCUUAUUCAUCCGGCCAGCCAGUUCCUGGGGAUUUGGAUCCAUCAUUUCCAAAUUCUGUUGGAAACUUUUACCUCCUGUAACUGACCACAGCAGGGCUGCAGCUCCAUGCCACACGUGACCCAUGGCCAUCCAGAAAUCAGAGGUCCUUCAUCCCCUGCCCUCUCACCGAUCCUUUUCCCAAACCACAUGUUUCAGUGAGUCAGGGUCAUUCUAGUGAAUUUCACUUCCAAUUCCAACUCCAACUCCAAGAGCUUUAGCCAAAUGUGACAACAGAGAAAACAGUCCUCAAGAGCACUCUCACUUCUGACACCAAUUACAAGUUCCAGGAACCCCACACCACCCUCAGGUUCUGUAAUCUGAUAGAAAGACUCAUAAAACUCACCGAAAGCUGUUACAGUUGUGGUUACAGUUUAUCACAGAAGAAGGACACAGUUUCAAGUCAGCCAAGGAAGCUGCACACAGGGCAGAAUCCAGGAGAACAAGAGGCUUCUGUUGUCCUCUCCCCGUGUGGUCAGGCCAGUUUUGCUCUCCUGGCAUGUACGUGUGGUGACACACCUGCAGCAUGGCCAGCUGGGGAGGCUCACUUGAUGCUCUCUGCCCAGAGCUUUUACGGGGGCUCCAAUAUGUAGGCAUGAUUGAUUGAUUGGUUGACUGACUGAUUGCUCACAUAGUUGACCUUAGACUCCAGCCCUCAGGAGGUUGAGAUGUGUGACCAAAAGCCCCUACCCUAAAUCACACUGUCGGUCUUUCUGGUGGUUAGCCCCCACCUAAAUACUAUCAAGUGUGGCCCGCCGCCACCCUAAAUCACCUUGUUAGACUAUCUGGCAUUAUCCAAGGCAAACAAAGGUAAACAAAGACACUCCUAUCAGUCAUGACAUUCUAAGGGCUUAGACAUGACCUUCCAGAAGCCAAGGGAAGGGCUAGACAUCUUUUUGGAUAAGGUUAAAUUCUUUACCGCACAACGUGUGAGAUAAAAAUUAUGGAAGAAGGAGUUUAGGAUUCCCAGAGCAUCCUCAUGUCCCUGAUGCUGCACGGGGUGCAUCUGCCAGAGGCCCCUCGCGGUGAUGGAAGCCUGAGGAGCAGGAGCACCUGGCUGUGGCAGGUGAGGUCUGGGUUCCAGGGCCCAGGGUGGACCACACAUCCCAGGCCCAGAAGCCAGACGUGGGCCCACCCCAGAGGCCAGGCACCAGAACUCAGGCUGUGGAUCCUGUGUUCCCAGAACCACCUACAGUUUGGCUGCCUUGAUCCAACCCUCCCACAAAGGGCGCUGCUGACCCAGUUCCAUCCUCUCCUCAUCCCCUUGCCACAUAUUAGAGGGUCCUAAGGGUUCUGGGGUGCAGCUCCUAGGAAGAGGACUCUGUCCUUUUCCAGAUUCCAGAAAGGGAGGAAGACACUGCUAGGAGUCUUCCCCCGUGAGGGUGCCCUGGCCCAGAAUCUCCUCCACUGAAGAGCAGAGAAAUGCGCCUACACCAAGAGCUGUCCACACAGCCUGACAGCAGAAGUGUCUCGCCUCCGAGUGACCCCACUUUCCGGUAAGCCCACUUCCAAAGACCCAGAACCACAGCAAGACGCUUUGCUCUCUCCUAAAGCAAUGCUGAUUUUUUUCUCUGUUAGUUUUGUGGCUAUUGAGUGAUCAUUCAGUGACUUAAGUGGAAAUCUAACAGAUUAUAAUUCUUCUAUAAUGUCCUGCAGGUUCCUCAAACAUGACUCCCAGUGAUUAAGGGCUUUCAUGCUCUCCCACUAGCGGGAAGUGUAAUUACAUUAUCUUGUUGUUGUUAAUUAGUGUAAUAAAGUUAUCCAGAAACACAGCAAGAACUUUGUCUUCUAAAAUAAUUUCCAUGUUUUUCUCUUUUAUUUUUUUUUUGUUAUUAUUAAAUGGUUACACAAUAUCUCAAAUGGAGACCUAAUGUAAUUUUUAGGGUAGUGUUUUAUAAAUGUACAUUAUGUAAAUGUGAAUCUUAGUAAACCAUUUCCACAUUAUUUGAUUUCCGAAUACUGCAAGAAGCAUAUUUGUGUCAUUGUUAUUUAAUAAGUCUCUUCAUCCAGGAACCAGAGGUCCUUCAUCCCCUGCCCUCUCAUUGAUCUUUUUCCCAAAUCGCAAGUUUCAGUGAGUCAGAAACCCAUUUUCCCUCUCUUGUGAGCUAAUAUUGGACCUCCUAUUGGAAUAUGUAUCUUCCUCACAUGGAGGAGAAGCAGCUGGGGGCCUCGUUCUCCUCCAGUUAAUCUUCCUGGGAUGUUCUGCUCAGAGGCCAUCCUAAUCUUAACACAACAGGGGCCCGGGGGCCCUAAGCAGAGUUCGGGGGUCAAACCCGCCCCUCUUCAGCCCGUCCUGCCCUCUCCUUUGGUUCCACUGUGGUGGUGAGGUGGUUACACAAUUGGUCCUAUUGAAGCUGGAUGCAAUUCUAGUUCUUGGGGUAGUGAUUUCUACACGAAGCUCAUUUGGAAGUGAAUUUCCUGGGGGCACUGUUUCCUUUCCUUCUGUUCUGACAAGGGAAGGACAUUAUUUGGGUGUGGCCGCCUUUUAAGACCCUGCACCAGGGAAGUUCGGUGAGGGUUUUAUAGGAGCCGUCUCACACCUGGGGAGGUGCAGAAGCACUGUCUUCUUCUAUGGACCCAGAGAUGAAUAUACAGUAGUUAUAAGACCAGUUAUGUUCAACUCACUAAAACUUGAUUUUUAGGAAUGUUUGGGAAAUACUGUUUCCACAAAACAUCCUUCCCUCGUCCAUCCAUCGCGGGUGCUGGGGAUUGCCUGUGGGAGACCUGGCCUCGGUGCUGCCUCCCUCCCUCCUUCAGUUCUGAAUCCAGCUCUGGAGGAGAAGCAGCUGGGGGUGGGGAGGGGAGGUGACACCGUGCCCCGAAGGGUUAAAAAGACCGGUGACUCACAGCGGGGAUUCCUGAGCUCACACCACGGCAGGUAAGAACAGCAGCAGCGUGCUGGAAAUUCCUUCCUUGUGAGAAUAAAACUGCCUGAGAUCCUGGGGACCCAAAGGGCCGGCUGGAGUGGGCAGCAGCUUGCUGACAUCACGGCCCAAAUUUCCAUCUCACGUUCACACUCACUGCCCCUGAAUCAGCACAUGUGAGCCUGCAGAGGCACGAAGACACAGCUGCACAUGCCCAGGGGACAUUCCAGACCUCCCCUUUCCCUCCGGCAAUCACCCGCUAAUCCCAGAACCCACCCCAGACCCUUCCUAAUGACGGCACUGCCUUAAGGCCAGGAAGGGGAGAUGGAUGUGAGCUGCAUCCUGUCUCCUUGUUGCUGACCCACAGCAAAGCUUGUCUUUUCUUAAACCUGGUGCCACAGUACCGGCUUCUGAGUACAUCUGGAAGCCAGCCCCAUUCACUGUCUUCCCCAGGCAAACCAGUUGCCCAGAUUUGUUUCCCCAAAGCGCCUCUCCUCUCCCAGGCUGCUCACCCUAUCAUCUCUCAGGACCAGGGUGUCCCAGAGCAUGCUUUAGGGGGUGCCUAGAGUUGGGACAGGCCACUAGACAUACAGCAGGGACCCUGAACUCAGUUGCGACCUCAAGGGCGUGGGGCCCGUUCUCCUCCAGUGAAUCUCCCCGGGAUGUUCUGCUGGGAGGCCCCCCUAACCUUAACACAACAGGUGCCCAGGGGCCCUGAGCAGAGUUCACAGGUCACACCUGCCCCUCUUCAGCCUGUCCUGCCCCAGGCAAAACAACAGUGACAAAG
rnacentral:lncRNA from 1 species